rnacentral:tRNA from 1 species
GUUUAUGUAGUUUACUUAAAACAUUACAUUUUCACUGUAAAGAGGGAUUUAAAUUCCAUAAAUA